rnacentral:rRNA from 1 species
GGUUACAGCCAUGCUACUCUGAACAAGCCUGAUCUCGUCUGAUCUCGGAAACUAAGCAGUGUUGGGUCUGGUUAGUACUUGGAUGGGAGACCACCUAGGAAGACCAGGUGCUGUAGGUG